GAUGAACGCUGGCGGCGUGCCUAACACAUGCAAGUCGAACGAAGCUUGACGAAUGAUUUUUUUCGGAAUGAAUUCUGAUAUGACUGGGUGGCGGACGGGUGAGUAACGCGUGAGCAACCUGCCCUUCGGAGGGGGAUAGUGUCUGGAAACGGACAGUAAUACCGCAUAACGUAUUUUUACCGCAUGAUAGAAAUACCAAAACUGAGGUGCCGAAGGAUGGGCUCGCGUUGGAUUAGAUAGUUGGUGGGGUAACGGCCUACCAAGUCGACGAUCCAUAGCCGGACUGAGAGGUUGAACGGCCACAUUGGGACUGAGACACGGCCCAG
rnacentral:rRNA from 1 species